GGGGAAUAGCUCAAAUGGUAGAUUGCCUGCCUAGUAAGCAUGAGACCCUGAGUUCAAACCUCAGUACCACCA
rnacentral:tRNA from 1 species